CUGGAACGACUGUUCCAUUUAUUUCUGUUUUCGAUUCAUCCCCGAGCCGUGUCGGUUUUUGUAUCGAUGCUUUAAUAAUAGUAUAAUGUAACCUAGUAUUGAACCGGAAACGUCUGGUCGGGCAUCCCGCACAUUUAUUUUCUUGUAAUUUCAUGGCUUUCUUUAGUCCACACAGUUCUUUUACCAACUUUUUGGUCGUAACGUCUACUACGAUUAAAACGGUUAACUGGCAA